ACAGCUCUGACUCCCGGCUUGUUGUGGAUACCAGGCACAGGAUAUCUGCCCAGCUCUCCACCUCCUUCCCUGAUAACUGCUUCUGGGGGCGCUGACUCACCCUCGCCGCUUCCCUGAGGCAGAGGACGGCGAGGCAGACAUUGGAUUUCCCGAGGGAGGAAGCCCUCAGCUUGGAUACCCAACCUCCAGGAAGGAUGUGGGGUCAGAGCUUACUUUCCCUCUCCCUUGCAAACCUGCACCAAAUCUGAAGGGUUCCCAUCUCCCUCAGGUAAUUUCCAUCAGCAUGAAGUACUGCCUGCUACGCAUCUUCCAGUAAAUUACCUCGAGAAGAGGGCUCGAUGCUAAAAGCAACUACUCCAGCUAAUGCCACUACACAGAUGGCAAAUAGGGUGUUCCCUCCUGCGAAGACUAACAUUCCAUAGUCCUAGAGAAGAGGAUGGUACGUAUCAAACUAGCUCCCCUUCCCUUCCCUACACUUCUCAACCCCAAGCUUCUAAGCCACUAUCUUCUCCCCCACUCCCCUGAGUUAAGUCCCAGGUCCACUGGGAACACACUGGACAAAAGCCAAUCUGUCCUCCUUGCCUUCUGACCUGGCCAGUCCUGAGGUGUCCAAGCCGCAGGCCCUGCAAGAGGGAUGUAAGCUGGUGGAGGGCUACUCCAUU
ensembl:lncRNA